rnacentral:rRNA from 1 species
UACGGGGGGGGCAAGCGUUGUUCGGAAUUACUGGGCGUAAAGGGCUCGUAGGUGGCCAACUAAGUCGGACGUGAAAUCCCUCGGCUUAACCGGGGAACUGCGUCCGAUACUGGAUGGCUUGAGUGUGGGAGAGGGAUGCGGAAUUCCAGGUGUAGCGGUGAAAUGCGUAGAUAUGCGGAGGAACACCGGUGGCGAAGGCGGCAUCCUGGACCGGCAUUGACGCUGAUCAGCGAAAGCCAGGGGAGCAAACGGG